CUUUCGCCUAAAAUAAAGUAAGGUUUUACAUCCCGUACCAAUCAAUGGGUCUUUUUCUUCUAACUGGAGCAUCUCUCGGAGCCGGGAGUCCAGACCAGCUUCUCUGUCCCUGCUGAAGAAAAGCACAGCAUGAUGCAGCCACCAAUAUGUUCCAGGUUCGGGACGAUGUAUUCAGAGUGAUGUGCAGCUUUUUGUAUGUAGGCCUAAAAGUGACUUUGUUACAUUCUCUCUUCCACGAAGGCCAGAUUUGUGGAGUGCACCACUAAUACCACUAAUAUUCUUCCAACUGGGCCGUGAAUCCUCUGGAGGUCCGUUGGGCCUCUAAAGAUGCUUCUCUGAAUAAUGAUGUCCUUGAUAGCCUAUCAGUUCAGGUGGACGGCCAUGUGUUGAUAGGUCUGCAGCUGUGCAAUACUGUUCCUGUUUUCGGAUGAUGGAUUGAACAGAGCUCUGUGAGAUGGUCAAAACUUGAAAUAUUGUUUUAUUCCAUAACUCUGCUUUAAAUUUCUCCACAACUUUCUCCUGUUUGCUGUGUUCCCUAGUCUUCGUGACACUGGUUGUUAAUUGAUCAUGUCUCACAAACCUCUGAGGCCUUCAUAGAACCACAGUAUUUAUACUGAGAUGGAAGGAAAUUGUUGGGACUGGACUUUAUUUAGAGGUCUCAAAGCAUAGGAAGAUGGAUACAUAAUCAUGUCAAACCUUUCAGAUUUUCAUUUGUAAUAUAUAUAUAUAUUUCACUAGUUUGUACUACUUUGUGUUCAUCUUUCAAAUAAAAUCCCCCCCAAAUAUUUCCACGACGAUUUACAAAAGAUAAUAAAUAAAUCUGAGAUAUUUUGGUGCUGAAUUUAUUUUAUUUUUUUCAUUUCAUUCCCAGAUUAAUUUUUAACAAUAAAUAUAACACAUAAAGGUGUUGAAGCUCAGUUUAUUUAAUCAGAACUGGUGACUAUAUUUAUACACACACUUUAAUAAAUUAUAUAGUAACACCAAUUCCAGGAUGAAAUGCAGAGUCCUCUUAAAACAACAUAUUUCACCAAUAUAAUAAAAUAAAAGUGGUAAAAAGAACACUUUAAAACUCCUAUAAAUUCCUUUGUAGCAUCAGACUUUAUAACUUUAAAUGCCACUGUCUAAAAUAGUAAAAUAAAAUGAAAGGAAAGCAUUCAGGUUCCUCCAUAAAUGCAGUCCUUCUAAAAGGUGCAUAAAACCCCAGCAUGUUUGGCACUGUUACAUUUAUCUUUAUAUUUACUGACAGAUAUACCAUCAAAUUGAUUGAAGGUUCUCACAUCAAUAACACUGAAACCUAUAAGGCUCAAUCUGAAUAUCUUUCGGAAAGACGUCAAUCAAGAAUCCUCCAUAGAAGUAAGUUGGUUCAAACACAUGUUGGACAAAUCACAUACAAGCACUGCACCAAAGUCACACGUUGAACAGAAGCUUUGUGGCCACACGGCUAAAAAAUCAUUCAUGUCAAUAUGCACUUAAUGUGAAAAAUUAUUUUGGGAUUGCCAUUUAAA